GUCCGGUUUUGUCAUUUGACCGAGCAACAUCACUCUCAUGCGUUAAAAAGUUUUGAGUAAUUUUAUGAGUGUCUUCGGCAAAUGUAUAGUGCUUUUCUGUGACUGGCCUAGUCCGGAAUAGUGUUGGCAUCACCUGAGUGCAUAAACAUUGUGAAUGGAGAAAGGAUGGCUCCCUUUUCCUUGCAAAAUUAUCCAUGGAGAUCAUCGAGGGAAACCAAAUUCUGCGGCAUUGGAGCUGAAGCGAGACAUCGGCAGCAAAUUUGCAGCUCAACACCGUUACCGUGCAGUGAUUGGGGUUGUAGUGUGUGUAGAUUGGGAGACUCGAGGAUUGUGGAUUUUUGUGAUGAUUUGGAUGUGUUGGACUUCUCUCCAUUUCUCGAUGUGCUGAUGGAUUAUCAGUCACACAGAUUUGUUACUCAGAAUAACGUUUAUCUCAUUUGAAGAGAUAAUGGAGGGGGAUGUACGACUCGGUUUUGAAUGAUUUUUUGGACUCGGAAAAAUGCAUGUGAAACUCGUGAUGGUGUGGGCGAAUUUCUGAUCAGUUGUGGGAGUUAUCAUUCGGAGUAAUCCUGAAAAGGAGGAUAUUACAAGGAUUUAAUGGAUUUUGGGGACUAAGAUUGUGCCCUUCGUUAAGGACUGCUGUACCUGGCUGAAUCCUUGAUUAACGAAGAAUAAGUACAGUCUUUAGAAUGUAUAAGAAGUUUGAUUGAGGGUUCGAAUGGGACUUUUUGUAGUCAGUUAUUUCCACCGAAACAGGAGGAGUCUAUCUGGCAGGAAAAAGUACCCAUUUAUAAAUUUUCAAAGAAUAAUAGGAUUUUGGAUCAAAAUUGAUGGAGUUGCUUGCUUUUGCAACUUAAAAGGAAAUUUUGAAGUAAUCAUCAAUAAAUUUCAGGGAAAUAGUGAUAGAAUAGAAAAUUUAGAACUUCAAGGAAUAUGUGUGAAUUGAUUAUAAUAAUUCACAAUACUUGAAUAUUUGAAGAGCGGUUGCAUAAAUGAGUGAUAUCUUAUCGCAACAAAAUAAAGGAUUCUCAUAGGAACACAACUAAUAGAAGAAACUUCUUCUCAUUGUAUUGUUUAGUAAGAUUUGAUGGAUAAAAGGAAUUAUAGGAAACUGAAAAAAUUGA